rnacentral:antisense_RNA from 1 species
CUUGACGGAGCCGAGCCACAGCGGCCGGUCGGCGGUGCGCUUGCGGCCGUACGUGGCGAGCAGGGCGUGGGCUUC